rnacentral:rRNA from 1 species
CUUAGAGUUUGAUCCUGGCUCAGGAUGAACGCUGGCGGUAUGCUUAACACAUGCAAGUCGAACGGUGUCUUCGGACAUAGUGGCGGACGGGUGAGUAACGCGUGAGAAUCUAGCUUCAGGUCUGGGACAACCACUGGAAACGGUGGCUAAUACCGGAUGUGCCGGAAGGUGAAAGGCUUGCUGCCUGAAGAUGAGCUCGCGUCCGAUUAGCUAGUAGGUGGGGUAAGAGCCUACCUAGGCGACGAUCGGUAGCUGGUCUGAGAGGAUGACCAGCCACACUGGGACUGAGACACGGCCCAGACUCCUACGGGAGGCAGCAGUGGGGAAUUUUCCGCAAUGGGCGAAAGCCUGACGGAGCAAUACCGCGUGAGGGAGGAAGGCUCUUGGGUUGUAAACCUCUUUUCUCAGGGAAGAACACAAUGACGGUACCUGAGGAAUCAGCAUCGGCUAACUCCGUGCCAGCAGCCGCGGUAAUACGGAGGAUGCAAGCGUUAUCCGGAAUGAUUGGGCGUAAAGCGUCCGCAGGUGGCUGUGUAAGUCUGCUGUCAAAGAGCAAAGCUCAACUUUGUAAAGGCAGUGGAAACUACACGGCUAGAGUGCGUUCGGGGCAGAGGGAAUUCCUGGUGUAGCGGUGAAAUGCGUAGAGAUCAGGAAGAACACCGGUGGCGAAGGCGCUCUGCUAGGCCGCAACUGACACUGAGGGACGAAAGCUAGGGGAGCGAAUGGGAUUAGAUACCCCAGUAGUCCUAGCUGUAAA